AUUGAACGCUGGCGGCGUGCUUAACACAUGCAAGUCGUGCGGUAACAGGCGUAGCAAUACGUGCUGACGAGCGGCGAACGGGUGCGUAAUACAUGGGAAUCUGCCCUUUAGUGGGGAAUAACCCGGCGAAAGCCGGGCUAAUGCCGCAUAAGAUCUUCGGAUGAAAGCGGGGGAUCGUAAGACCUCGCGCUGAUGGAUGAGCCCAUGUCGGAUUAGCAGUUGGUGAGGUAAAGGCUCACCAAGGCGACGAUCCGUAGCUGGUCUGAGAGGACGGCCAGCCACACUGGGACUGAGACACGGCCCAGACUCCUACGGGAGGCAGCAGUGGGGAAUAUUGGACAAUGGGGAAACCCUGAUCCAGCGACGCCGCGUGUGUGAAGAAGGCCUGCGGGUUGUAAAGCACUUUCGGUGGG
rnacentral:rRNA from 1 species